UUUUUUAUUAUAUAUAUAUCUACAUUUUUUAAACAUUAUUUCAACUUAUUGUUAUAACAGAAUAAUCUAUGCAACUGUAAAAAUUGAGGUGGAAGAGCAGAAAAACAUUUUCAGUGUACUCUCUUAAGAAAUUAUAAAAUAUACAAAUGAAUAUAUACGAGUAAUAGAAUAUUAAAACUUGAAAUUAUUAUUUGAUUUCAUAUCACUUAUUUUGAAAUUAUAAUUUACGUUCAUCAUAUUGAAUGGUGAAAUAAUAAAUUUAUCAUAUCAGUAUGUUGAUAAAUUUAUGAACCUGAAGCUAUUGUCGGAUGUUGAAAUACGUACUGAAAAAAAAGUGGUGGUUUUUAGCUAAGUCGGAUUUAGUUGAGACAGCUAAAUGAGAUUUAGCUGAGUCAACUGAAUAAAUUUAUCUGAGCUAAUCAUUUUUUAGGAUUUUUCGUUGUUUUUUGGGGGUGUUGUUUAGCUGUAAGGGAAGCAGGGGUGGUUUUGGGGUAUGUUGCAUAUGCAGAUCGACAGCAAUAAAUUAGCAAAAAAAUAUGCCGCGUCGUACGAUUUUCUAGCUCUUUAGGUUCGCGAGAUAUGGCUAUCGAUGAUGUGACAUAAUAUUAAGCUACAUCAACCAUUGUUUCUCGGUUAGGGGUGGAGCAAAAAAUUUGUUUUUUACGGCUAAUGACAGCAAAAAAUUAGCAAUUAAAUAUCAACCGUCAACUAUAUCACAAAAAUCAUUUUUCAAGAUUUUUCGUUGUUUUUUGGGGGUGUUGUUUAGCUGUAAGGGAAGCAGGGGUGGUUUUGGGGUAUGUUGCAUAUGCAGAUCGACAGCAAUAAAUUAGCAAAAAAAUAUGCCGCGUCGUACGAUUUUCUAGCUCUUUAGGUUCGCGAGAUAUGGCUAUCGAUGAUGUGACAUAAUAUUAAGCUACAUCAACCAUUGUUUCUCGGUUAGGGGUGGAGCAAAAAAUUUGUUUUUUACGGCUAAUGACAGCAAAAAAUUAGCAAUUAAAUAUCAACCGUCAACUAUAUCACAAAAAUCAUUUUUCAAGAUUUUUCGUUGUUUUUUGGGGGUGUUGUUUAGCUGUAAGGGAAGCAGGGGUGGUUUUGGGGUAUGUUGCAUAUGCAGAUCGACAGCAAUAAAUUAGCAAAAAAAUAUGCCGCGUCGUACGAUUUUCUAGCUCUUUAGGUUCGCGAGAUAUGGCUAUCGAUGAUGUGACAUAAUAUUAAGCUACAUCAACCAUUGUUUCUCGGUUAGGGGUGGAGCAAAAAAUUUGUUUUUUACGGCUAAUGAAAGCAAAAAAUUAGCAAUUAAAUAUCAACCGUCAACUAUAUCACAAAAAUCAUUUUUCAAGAUUUUUCGUUGUUUUUUGGGGGUGUUGUUUAGCUGUAAGGGAAGCAGGGGUGGUUUUGGGGUAUGUUGCAUAUGCAGAUCGACAGCAAUAAAUUAGCAAAAAAAUAUGCCGCGUCGUACGAUUUUCUAGCUCUUUAGGUUCGCGAGAUAUGGCUAUCGAUGAUGUGACAUAAUAUUAAGCUACAUCAACCAUUGUUUCUCGGUUAGGGGUGGAGCAAAAAAUUUGUUUUUUACGGCUAAUGACAGCAAAAAAUUAGCAAUUAAAUAUCAACCGUCAACUAUAUCACAAAAAUCAUUUUUCAAGAUUUUUCGUUGUUUUUUGGGGGUGUUGUUUAGCUGUAAGGGAAGCAGGGGUGGUUUUGGGGUAUGUUGCAUAUGCAGAUCGACAGCAAUAAAUUAGCAAAAAAAUAUGCCGCGUCGUACGAUUUUCUAGCUCUUUAGGUUCGCGAGAUAUGGCUAUCGACGAUGUGACAUAAUAUUAAGCUACAUCAACCAUUGUUUCUCGAUUAGGGGUGGAACAAAAAAUUUGUUUUUUACGGCUAAUGACAGCAAAAAAUUAGCAAUUAAAUAUCAACCGUCAACUAUAUCACAAAAAUCAUUUUUCAAGAUUUUUCGUUGUUUUUUGGGGGUGUUGUUUAGCUGUAAGGGAAGCAGGGGUGGUUUUGGGGUAUGUUGCAUAUGCAGAUCGACAGCAAUAAAUUAGCAAAAAAAUAUGCCGCGUCGUACGAUUUUCUAGCUCUUUAGGUUCGCGAGAUAUGGCUAUCGAUGAUGUGACAUAAUAUUAAGCUACAUCAACCAUUGUUUCUCGGUUAGGGGUGGAGCAAAAAAUUUGUUUUUUACGGCUAAGGACAGCAAAAAAUUAGCAAUUAAAUAUCAACCGUCAACUAUAUCACAAAAAUCAUUUUUCAAGAUUUUUCGUUGUUUUUUGGGGGGUGUUGUUUAGCUGUAAGGGAAGCAGGGGUGGUUUUGGGGUAUGUUGCAUAUGCAGAUCGACAGCAAUAAAUUAGCAAAAAAAUAUGCCGCGUCGUACGAUUUUCUAGCUCUUUAGGUUCGCGAGAUAUGGCUAUCGAUGAUGUGACAUAAUAUUAAGCUACAUCAACCAUUGUUUCUCGGUUAGGGGUGGAGCAAAAAAUUUGUUUUUUACGGCUAAUGACAGCAAAAAAUUAGCAAUUAAAUAUCAACCGUCAACUAUAUCACAAGAAUCAUUUUUCAAGAUUUUUCGUUGUUUUUUGGGGGUUUUGUUUAGCUGUAAGGGAAGCAGGGGUGGUUUUGGGGUAUGUUGCAUAUGCAGAUCGACAGCAAUAAAUUAGCAAAAAAAUAUGCCGCGUCGUACGAUUUUCUAGCUCUUUAGGUUCGCGAGAUAUGGCUAUCGAUGAUGUGACAUAAUAUUAAGCUACAUCAACCAUUGUUUCUCGGUUAGGGGUGGAGCAAAAAAUUUGUUUUUUACGGCUAAUGACAGCAAAAAAUUAGCAAUUAAAUAUCAACCGUCAACUAUAUCACAAAAAUCAUUUUUCAAGAUUUUUCGUUGUUUUUUGGGGGUGUUGUUUAGCUGUAAGGGAAGCAGGGGUGGUUUUGGGGUAUGUUGCAUAUGCAGAUCGACAGCAAUAAAUUAGCAAAAAAAUAUGCCGCGUCGUACGAUUUUCUAGCUCUUUAGGUUCGCGAGAUAUGGCUAUCGAUGAUGUGACAUAAUAUUAAGCUACAUCAACCAUUGUUUCUCGGUUAGGGGUGGAGCAAAAAAUUUGUUUUUUACGGCUAAUGACAGCAAAAAAUUAGCAAUUAAAUAUCAACCGUCAACUAUAUCACAAAAAUCAUUUUUCAAGAUUUUCCGUUGUUUUUUGGGGGUGUUGUUUAGCUGUAAGGGAGGCAGGGGUGGUUUUGGGGUAUGUUGCAUAUGCAGAUCGACAGCAAUAAAUUAGCAAAAAAAUAUGCCGCGUCGUACGAUUUUCUAGCUCUUUAGGUUCGCGAGAUAUGGCUAUCGAUGAUGUGACAUAAUAUUAAGCUACAUCAACCAUUGUUUCUCGGUUAGGGGUGGAGCAAAAAAUUUGUUUUUGUGGUAAUAAAUUAGCAAAAAAUUAGCAAAAAAAUAUGAAACUAUUCCAAAUAUGGACUUAUGAAAUGGAUGAUCUGGCUUAAUAGACAUCAAGACAUGUCAGAUUCAUCAAAACUACUACCUAGAUUUUUUAGUUCUCUAAAUAGUCGAUCACAUUUUGCGAAAUGGUCAUGAAUAUCCAUGUCAUUAUUGUAGUUUAAGGUUGUUAGUUCUUUUAACAAAUAAAACUUGGAACACGUACCUUUCUUAUCAAAUAUUCUUUCCAGUUUUUGUAUCAUGUCAUGAGCUACUUCCACUUCUUUUAUAUAUUCCAAAUGUGAGUCAGCAAUACUUUGGAUGAUUACCAUACAAGCCUUAUUGUUCCUUUUAUGCCAUUCCUCCCCUCUAUCAAUCACGGGUACCGGCUUCAAAGCUUCACUACAUUCAAGGGCCUUUAGAACUGAGAACAACCUAAACUUCCAGUUAUCGAAACUGUUUCCAUUAAAAGGUAUUAUGCCAUAUUUGUUUUCAGUUGACUUCUCCAUUAUUUAAACUUUUGCUUGCUUUUACAAACACGUGCCUUUACUAGCCUUUCUUUUCACGUUUUCACCUCUUCCUUCUCAACACAUUCUUUGUUCAGCUGGGCCCAUAACCAUUGUUAUGUAGAUGAAAUGUAGAAUUAAAGAAUGUGUUGAUAUUUUAUGUAUUUGUAUUUAAACAACUAACAACUCAAUAAACGUGAUUACAUAAUUCUACAUCGAAGAGGAAAAUAAUGAAUUGACAUUUUUCAUUCUUACAAAAACCGUUGACAGUUGACAUAACAUAAGCAGUGCUGCCAAUCAUAGAGCACCAAACGGAACCAAGACAGGUUUGUUCGUUAGGUCCGCUUGCCACUAUGCUAAAUUUAGUACUGAAAUUAGUACUAAAAAUAUUGUAUCUACAAAUUAGAUGCGCGCGCCGAUUUAGUACUAAAAAUUAAAACAUGUUCUAAUUUCUUGUACUGAAAUUGACACAAUAUUAAAAAGUGAGGUUGUAUUGCAUAUUAGGUACUUUUGUUUUUUUAUAGGUACAUAAUAAUAGUGAUUUCAACUUUCAACAUGUGGAGAAAAAGGCAGAUUGAAACAUUAAUAGAGUUUUACAAAUCGAAUCAAUGAUCAAUGUUUGUAUGUGCCAAAGCACCCUCUCUAUAGAAUAGGAACGCACGAAUUAAAGUUUUGGAAGAAAUAAAGGCAGAAUUAGCCAAACUACCCAGGCAACCAAAUAACGUUUAUAAAACGUUGAAAAAACGUCAUAAUUAUCACCAAACGACGUCAGUUUAUCACGUUUUUUCGACGUCGAAGAUCACGUGAAUAUGUCCCACCAUAAGUCGCGUCAUUUUUAUCACGUUUUAAAUACGUGAUAUAAAAAACGUAGAUUUUACGUCGAUUUUGCGUCGUUUUUUAGAUUUAAUUUUCAUUUUAUGGUUUUAGAAAUACACAAUAAUUGAAUGGGUCCACCACAUGGUUUGUUUUUGAGAAGUCAAAGAAAAAGUUUUAUAUUGUGAUAAUGGUGAGUUUAUACAUUUUAAAGGUGUAAAGUAAUACAGUUUGUAUUUUGUAUUUAAAAACUGUAUUACUACCCUUAAAAUGUAUAAACUCACCAUCAUCACAAUAUUAAAACUUUUUCUUUGACUUCUCAAAAACAAACCAUGUGGCGUUUACAACGUUAUUCGGCAGGCCCAUUCAAUUAUUCGUAUGGGCAUUGUUAGUAUUGCAAUUUUUCCAUUUAAGUAAAACCAAAUGGAAGGCUUGUUAAAAUGCAUAGAAUUACAAUAUCUUCAAUGCAACAUAUAUAACAUACAUAGAAUUUUCACUUUUUAUAUUAUAAGUAUUUACUGUGUCAAAAGUGAAACAACAUAUAAACUAAUAAAUCAUUUAUUAACAAAUUAAACAUUUAAGUCACAAUGUAAUAACAAACUUAAGUUUAAACCAUUGAAGUUAUAUAAUAUAUAUAAUUAUUAUAAUUAUACCACACACUUUAAAGGGUACGAUUCCGACAACGACUGCAGAUGGCAGUUACAGUUGUCACCAUGACAGACGUCAUUAUUUUGCACUAAUAAUUUGCAUAAUUAUUAGCAACUGAUGUUCUGCCAGACAGCAGUUGCAGUCAGAUGUCGGAAUCAGUCUCAUACAGAUAAAUAGUGCAAAGUAGUAACGUCCAUAACGCCGAGAACUGCAACUGAUGUUUGCAGUUGCUGUCUGCAGUCGUUAUCGGAAUCGUA